rnacentral:rRNA from 1 species
CUAGCUGUAAACGAUGGAUACUAGGCGUUGAGAGUAUCGACCCUCUCAGUGUCGUAGCUAACGCGUUAAGUAUCCCGCCUGGGGAGUACGCGCGCAAGCGUGAAACUCAAAGGAAUUGACGGGGGCCCGCACACGCGGUGGAGUAUGUGGUUUAAUUCGAUGCAACGCGAAGAACCUUACCAGGGCUUGACAUGUCCGGAACCCUGCCCAAAGGCGGGGGUGCCUACGGGAACCGGAACACAGGUGGUGC